UUUCCUCAAAUGUACAUUAAGUGGUUUGAGAUGCCUCCACUAGAAUCUGUACCGUCAUUGGUUGAUCUAAUGGCCCAGAUUAAUUUUCUUUCCUAUUUUUAUACCACAACCCCAUAUCUAUACCACUCCAGUUGAUAACGCAGUGCCCCAUAGGAAACGUUGAACAGCAUAUGGCUCCGCUCCAAGCAGAAUACUGAAGCAGGGCUGCACAGAGACCACAAGAAAAAUAUCGAAGUGAUUGCGUGUGGGGCCCAUGAACACUGAAAGUGAUCAGAUGUGCACACAGGCACGGUGCUUUCAGACAAUGCAGCUUGAUGGGAAAUAAUUGAGCUUCAAUCGCAAGCACAAUAAUAAUAGCAUUGACUUGACUUGCAGGCUCUUUGGCUGGUUCUUGAUGGCUUCAACAAGAAGACUAGCAUUCCCCACUCAGUCAUGACAGCUUUUUGAGGAUUUCAGAUUCUGAAGUGCACAAGAAGGUCGCUGCAGGUCCAUACCUGGCCGGAUCUACAUCGAUUUUAAGCCAGGUGGGUGGUUGUUCUCUGGUUUUGGCGGAUACCUCAAGUUGAAGAUCAAAUCCAGCUGUUUGUCAUCAACAGCAGGCUAGCACACUCAGUCAUACCCAUAACCCAUGAGUUCAUGAAAGUUUAGGAUCUCCACGAGUACGUUUCAAUGACAACAAGACCAGCCAAGCCAUGAGGCUCAGAAUUUCAAGACUCCAUGAGACUGUUGUGAUGGUGUCAGCUUCAGGAACGCACAAGGAGGUCACCAAGAUCGAUCAGAUGCCGGCUUCUUGAUUUGUGACGACAGCUGUUAUGGCGCUGCUAGAAGGAGGACGCGAGAGGGCUGGCCGGGGGCCUUUCUGCCCACGGCCGGGCAAGAGGGAAGGGAUUUCCUUUUUAAUUCUUGCUUCUUUAGAUUGAUGCAUCUCCUCUCUUUAUAUAGAGAGGUUUACUUGACUCCCAAGCAAGGCUUACUUGACUCCUAAGCAAGCGAUACUUAUCUCUAAUUAACCCUAAGACUAACGGGCUAUACCGCCAGCCCAGGCCAUUAUGCCCAUUACGUACUCUGACACUACACCCCACCUGGACAUGCAGCUUGUCCUCGAGCUGCAGCCUAACCAACUUAUAACCAUGACUCGACGCAACACAAACCUAACACCUAAAAACAAGCCUUUUACAUCUUGGCUUGUUUUAUUACUCUCAACCUGAAAAUGGACUGGUUGGACCCCUUAACAAAAAGUGGACACCAUCCGCAUGUCGGACGUGCACGUGUACAACCACCUAGAUCCCAUGGACACCACCUGGAUAAAAGGAGUGCAUGUGUAUGGCUGUUGGUCUGCACCGCACAGGGAAGAGUGGAGGGCUUGCAAUGGAGAAUGACGAGGAGGGGUGCGCCCCCCCCCCCCA